rnacentral:rRNA from 1 species
ACGCUGGCGGCGUGCCUAUCACAUGCAAGUCAACUUGACUGAAGGAGCAAUCUGACAGUAGAGUGGCGCAAGGGUGCGUAACGCGUAAGUAACUUGCCCCAAGGUAAGGAAUAACGUCGAGAAAUCGGCGCUAAUACCUCAUAAUGCAGCGGAUCCGCAUGGAUAUGUUGUUAAAGGUUUACCGCCUUGGGAUAGGCUUGCGUCUGAUUAGUUAGUUGGUGUGGUAACGGCACACCAAGGCUACGAUCAGUAACUGGUCUGAGAGGAUGAUCAGUCACACUGGAACUGAGACACGGUCCAGACUCCUACGGGAGGCAGCAGUGAGGAAUAUUGGGCAAUGCUCGAAAGAGUGACCCAGCAACGCCGCGUGGAGGAUGAAGGUAUUCUAUAUCGUAAACUCCUGUGAGAGCAGACGAAAGACAGAUUAUUAAUCUGGAUGACUGUAUGCUCAGAGGAAGCCCCGGCUAACUACGUG